CCUACGGGUGGCAGCAGUGGGGAAUAUUGCUCAAUGGGGGAAACCCUGAUGCAGCAACGCCGCGUGAGUGAGGACGUAUUUCGGUAUGUAAAGCUCUAUCAGCAGGGAAUUGAAAAGCAGGUACUUGAAAAAGAAGCACCGGCUAACUACGUGACAGCAGCCGCGGUAAUAAGUAGGGGGCAAGCGUGAUCAGGAUUUCCUGGGUGUAAAGGGAGCGUAGGCGGAAAGGCAAGUCAGAAGGGAAAGCCCAAGGCUCAACCAUGGGACUGCUUUUGAAACUGUCAAACUAGAGUACGGGGUAGGUAAGAGGAAUUCCUAGGGUAGCGGUGAAAUGCGUAGAUAUUAGGAGGAACACCGGUGGCGAAGGCAUCUUACUGGAACGAAACUGACGUUGAGGCUCGAAAGCGUGGGGAGCAAACAGGAUUAGAUACCCUAGUAGUC
rnacentral:rRNA from 1 species